rnacentral:lncRNA from 1 species
GUGGUAUGAUUGCCAAUGAGACAACUAUCCAUAAAAGACCAAAAUGACACAGACAUUAUAACAACUAUAGGUCACCGUUCGGCCUUCAACAAUGAGCAAAGCCCAUACCGCAUAGUCAGCUAUAAAUGGCCCCGAUAAAACAAUGUAAAACACGUUACCAAAACUGGCAUUAAAUUUCAAAUUUACCGAACAAAAAUUGAUCCGUAUAAACUUGUUAUUUAAUCUAAAUUAAAUUUCAGUUAAAUCGUCUGAUAUUAGUAGUUUCGAUAAAAAAUAAACGUAU